UGCAACUCAUGUUUGGUUAUUUCUGUACACACAGAUUCUGAAUGCAGAAGAAAAAGUAGAUACAUUAUCAGUACAUGUGCUGCUGUGUGAGCUGAGUGUCUGAGGGGAGUAUUGAGUGUGUGAGGUGAGUAUUGAGUGUGUGAGGUGAGUAUUGAGUGUGUGAAGGGAGUAUUGAGUGUGUGAGGUGAGUAUUGAGUGUGUGAGGUGAGCAUUGAGUCUGUGAGGGGAGCAUUGAGUGUGUGAGCUGAUUGUCUAAGGGGAGUAUUGUGAUGAGUGUGUCGGCUGACUGUGUGAGGUGGGUAUUGAGUUUUACAAAUGAAGGUGCUUUUAAAUGCAGCAUAUCUUGUGGUGUGCAGUUCCUCUCUCUAACACAUCAGCUGAGGACUUUGGGGACUUCCCUGAGGCAGAGAGUUGCCACCAUGUGGCCUACAU
ensembl:lncRNA